UACGUAGGUGACCAGCGUUGUCCGGAUUUACUGGGCGUAAAGAGCGCGCAGGCGGUCGUUCAAGUCGAGUGUGAAAGCCCCCGGCUCAACUGGGGAGGGUCAUUCGAUACUGAUCGACUUGAAGGCAGGAGAGGGAAGCGGAAUUCCCGGGUGUAGUGGUGAAAUGCGUAGAUAUCGGGAGGAACACCAGUGGCGAAGGCGG
rnacentral:rRNA from 1 species